rnacentral:rRNA from 1 species
UACGAAGGGGGCUAGCGUUGUUCGGAUUUACUGGGCGUAAAGCGCACGUAGGCGGAUCGUUAAGUCGGGGGUGAAAUCCUGGAGCUCAACUCCAGAACUGCCUUCGAUACUGGCGAUCUUGAGUCCGGAAGAGGUGAGUGGAACUCCUAGUGUAGAGGUGGAAUUCGUAGAUAUUAGGAAGAACACCAGUGGCGAAGGCGGCUCACUGGUCCGGUACUGACGCUGAGGUGCGAA